AUCCUGUUAUUCACCAACCCACGAUACCUCAGCUUGAAUGACAAACGUCUUGAGACCAUUCUACGAACGUACUCCUACUCAUUACUAGGACUGCAUCAUAGGGAUGUAGGUCAAACCUUCGCAAUCAUACCUCAAUUCCGUACUAGGACUGCAUCAUAGGGAUGUAGGUCAACCUUUCGAGACCAUACUCUUACUCUUUUCUUGAACAAUCUAAGUACAUCUAGGGUCAACCAGAAUCGCUCACAAAAUCCUUAUCGUUCGUGUUACAGGAUCAUGUCUUCAUCUGGAAGAAAUCAGUUGAACAACGAAACCUCCGCUUUUCCUAUGGACGCCGCUACCUUUCAAACAGCAGUUACAGCUGCCGUGGUGGCUGUCAUAACCGCGGUCCUUGCGCACUGUAGCGCUAUCAGCAGAGUCAAUGUUGUUGAUGGGAAUGAAGUUUCCAAUAGUGCUAUCCAUCCAGGAAGUCAUCAAACGGUAAUGGCCUCAGGCCCGCAAAGCCGGAAAUCAAAG
rnacentral:lncRNA from 1 species